GGAUGUGAGCGCUAUCUGGCUGUGACAUCUGUCACCCCAUUGAUUGCCAGGGUUGAUUCGGCUGAUCUGGCUGGCUAGGCUGGUAUCCUCUUCCUUCCUCACCACUCCAUGUACAUCCCUCCUGAAACUUUGCGCUACGUUGAAGAGAUCGGCCUUCCCGGAAUAGAGAUGGACCAGUCUUCAGUCGAGGGUAUACGAGUAGCUGUGCUCCCCUGCUAGAACCUCCAAACAGCUCUCAAAUACACACACACACACACACACACACACACAUACAUACAUACAUAUAUAUCAUUUUAU
rnacentral:snRNA from 1 species